UCCCUCCUCUCCCUCCUCCCUCUCUCUCUCUCUCUCUCUCGUUUUUCUCUUCCUUUCUCUUUCUCUCUCACCCUCUCUGUGCAACUCUCUUGGUCAUUCUCCUCUCUCUGUGCAACUCUUUCCUAUCCAGUAUUUUGCUCUGCAAAUUCCAUCCACCUUUGCCUCUGAAUUCUCAACUCCGUCUCCUCAGCGCAGGAAGACCUUCAGACUCCCAGCACGGUGGCCAGGAAACACUCUGCAAGCAAUGAUAUUUAAAGCAAUUGGACUGGAUGCACCAUCUAGAGCGUGUGUGUGGCUGAAGAAGAGAAGAAGCUCAAAGGUCUGAUUCUUUCAGGAUCCUAAGGAGGCUCUCCAGCAUCUGAAAGUUGAGAAACAAAGGACAAGCAUAAUGUCAACUGAAAAAGAAAUUGAAGUUCCCUAACUUUGGGGUUCUCUUCUGUAACAUAACCCUCUGCAUGGACAAGCAUCACCCGGUCUUCUUCACAUGACCCUGUGGAAAUUGGGCUCAGGAAACUGACAUAGAUGCUGACAAUUUGUGCUACUGCUAUUGC
rnacentral:lncRNA from 10 species